rnacentral:rRNA from 1 species
AAAUUGAAGAGUUUGAUCAUGGCUCAGAUUGAACGCUGGCGGCAGGCCUAACACAUGCAAGUCGAACGGUAACAGGAAGCAGCUUGCUGCUUCGCUGACGAGUGGCGGACGGGUGAGUAAUGUCUGGGAAACUGCCUGAUGGAGGGGGAUAACUACUGGAAACGGUGGCUAAUACCGCAUAACGUCGCAAGACCAAAGAGGGGGACCUUCGGGCCUCUUGCCAUCAGAUGUGCCCAGAUGGGAUUAGCUUGUUGGUGAGGUAACGGCUCACCAAGGCAACGAUCCCUAGCUGGUCUGAGAGGAUGACCAGCCACACUGGAACUGAGA